AUGAGGGGAUUGGAAAAGUUACGUGAAAAGUCAGAAUUUGGGAAAAGAGGCGGGUCUGAAAUGGGAAGAGAGCAACAUUGGAGCGGUCAUGAGAGAAGGGAUAAGAAUUCCAUCAACCUCCAAACUUUGAGGAAUAUGGGGCUACGACGACAACAUGUGGUGCUUUAUCACACAAGAGAAACAAUGUCGCGUCGGCGGCGAAGCCGCAGUGACCGUAAAUUAGUGUCUCUUUGGCAAUGGAGCAAUAUUGGGUCGUGCCGCGGUGGCGUCUACCAAGGUUCUGGAAAGUCACGCGAUGGAAGAAGCCACUACAGGGGUUGUAUGGGUUGGCGCAUGGGAGAAGCCGCAAUGGUGACAACCGUACUGCCGUAG